rnacentral:lncRNA from 1 species
AUGUUAAACAUCAAGUUAUUAUGUGGGCCAGACACUGUAACUUGUGCCUGUAAUCCCAGUUAUUCAAGAGUAGGGCAGAAGGAUCACUUGAGGCCACAGGAGUUUGAGACCAGCUUGGGCAACAUAGUGAGACUCUGUCUCUUUAAAAAAAAAAAAAAAAAGAGGCUGUAAAAUGAUUGCAAAAUAUCAGAUAAAUAAAACUGCAUGUGUCCGUAGUGAUAUUCAAAGAGAAAAAGAAAAAAUAAAGAAGGCUCUUUUUUAAGAAUGUCAACUAAUAAAAGUAGAAGGAAAGAUAUUUAGAAAACUAUCACUUUGCAUCCCCAAAGCAAUCACUGAUUCAAGCAAAGAUCAGCCAUGGCCAGGCACGGUGUCUCCCGCCUGUAAUCCUAGCACUUUGGGAGGCCAAGAUGGGCGGAUCACCUGAGGUCAAGAGUUCAAAACCAGUCUGGCCAACAUGGUGAAACCCCGUCUCUACUAAAAUACAAAAAUUAGCCGGGUAUGGUGGCGGGUGCCUGUAAUCUCAGCUACUCAGGAGGCUGAGGCAGCAGAAUCACUUGAACCCCGGAGAUGGUGGUUGCAGUGAGCCGAGAUCGCGCCACUGCAACUCCAGCCUGGGCGGCUGAAUAAGACUCUGUCUCAAAAAAAAAAAAAAAAAAAAAAAAGAAUCAGCCAUAUAAGCUAAAGCCAUUAAGUGGAAUUUGUUGAGGGAUAGGAGAGCCACAGUACCAAAGAAUCCAUCCCCAAGUACUAUUUGCAUAAGAAGACUUACUUUUAUCAUGAAGAAAUCUAUGUUCACCAACUUAAUCAAGGUAUCAAAUAGUGGGGCAACCUGCUAUUGUUUCUUGAUGUGAAAGAGUAAGAGUAUACAACAUCAUUAAAGAAAUAUUCUUGCCAAGAAUGUUUAACCUGAAUUCGAUCAAGUCUCACCCAGUUUAUAGGAAAUAAAGGGCCCAGAUUCUAAGACAACAUAAGGAAACAAACGAAUCCAACAUGUUGGCCUUUCUACAAGAAAACUGUCCUUCCUCUUUAAAGAGCCAAUUAUCUGGCCGGGCGUGAUGACUCACGCCUGUAAUCCCAGCACUUUGGGAGACCGAGGCAGGCGGAUCACUUGAGGCCAGGAGUUCAAGACCAGCCUGACCAACAUGGUGAAAACUCAUUUCUACAAAAAGUACAAACUAGCUGGUCAUGCUGGCGCAGGCCUGUAUUCCCAGGUACUCAUGAGGCAGAGGUGGAAGGAUCACUUGAACUUGAACUUAUGAGGCAGACAUUGCAGUGAGCCAAUAUUGUGCCACUGCCCUCCAGCCUGAGGGACAGAUCCAGACUCUCCCAAAAAUAAAUAAAUAGGUCGGGCUCGGUGUCUCACGCCUGUAAUCCCAGCACUUUGGGAGGCCGAGGGGGGUGGAUCACAAGGUAGGUCAGGAGUUCGAGACCAGCCUGACCAACAUGGAGAAACUCCGUCUCUACUAAAAAUACAAAAAAAUUAGCCAGGCAUGGUGGUGCACACCUGUAAUCCCAGCUACUCAGGAGGCUGAGGCAGGAGAAUCGCUUGAACCUGGGAGGUGGAGGCUGCAGUGAGCCCAUAUCAAGCCACUGCAUUCCAGCCUGGGUGACAGAGUGAGAUUCUGUCUCAAAAAAUAAAAACCUAGUGUCUUUUGUUUAACAUGGGGAGACUGUUCUAGACUAAAAAGAAACCUACAACCCACAACCAAAUGCAAUGCAUGACAUUGACUGACUCCUGCUUUGUAGGGGAGGUAGGAGGGCAGAAAGCCGCUAUUAAAAGUUCUUGAAACACAUUGGGAAAUUUUCCAUAUAAAAUUUUGAUAUUAUGAAUUACUACUGAUUUUCCUUAAGUGCGAUCAUAUUGUAGGUAUACAGGAGAAUCUCCUUGUUCUUGGGUAAUGUAUGCUUUUUAGAGAUAAAAUAUCAUGAUACCUGAAAUUUACUUUAAAAUAUUUUAUCAGUGUGGGGGAGAGGGGAGGAUUGCUAUGAUAGUAUCUGUCUUUGAUCUGAAAAAUCAGUAAUAUAGUUAAACCUAAUACAUAAAUACAGUUACAGCAAGCAUGGCAAAAUGUUGACAACUGUUGAAAUCUAGGUGGCAUAGAGUUGUUUAUUAUCCUUUCAACUUUUCCAUGUUUGAGAUUUUUUGUAAUGAAAAGUUGGGAGAGGGGAUUAUUUUCAGAAAUAUUUUCCUCAGAUGGCACCUAUAAAAUGUAUCCUAAAUUUUAAAGUACCUUAACUAGAAGUUGUCUGCUUUCCUUCAUUUGCUUGCUCGUCGUCCAUUCUAAUACUAAAACCUAUCUACAUUGCGCAUAUUCUAAUGCUAGAAUAGGUCUAAUAUAAAUCUCACAAAUAACACCAAUAACCAGCACAAGAUUUAUAGGUGUAAACAUCUGGUUUUAUACCGAAAUAACAAACUUAACAGCAGUAAAACAAAUCGUUUAUUACUGCAUAUGUGUUAUAUUAAAUUUACACAAUGAUAUAUAAAAACACAUACUGUUUAUAUUAUAUAGUAAUUUAACAUCAACAGGAAUAUCAACACAAGUACUACUCAUGCACAAAACAUGCAUAUAUUGGUAUACAAAAAGCAAUUUUACACAAUACUGUUUACCAAAAAUUUUUUCUUAAAAAACAGCCCUUCCACAUAGGAUCAGCGGUCCAAUCUGGACUGGAUUGCACUAAUAUGUUCAGGUCAAUGCUUAGGUGGCAUAGCGCUCAGUGAGCAAUUCUGGGAUUGGAGUCAUGCCCAAGGGUUACUUCAUUAAUAGUGAAUGUCUCUGUGCCCAAGGACCAAAAUUUUAUCCCAAAAGUAAAUCCUCCAAGGAAUGAAAGGUUAGAUUGGCUACAAAUUAGGGAGGGAAAAGGCAUCAAAAUGUUGGAUAAACGGCCCUAGAAGGGGUUAUUAGGAACAGGGCCUAGGCACCAAGUGUGGCAAAAGUUUUUGUGAAUCCUUUUAAGGUCCCUAUCCAGGCUGCCAUCUCUGGAUUUAAGGUCUGGCCUCCAAGUCAUGAGUCUAGUAAAAAAAACAGUUCUGAGAAUAAAGCCGAAUGGGCAUACAUCUGAGAAAUUUAGACUACAUAAAAAAUUAUAGAAUACAAUGACUGCCCCUCG